rnacentral:lncRNA from 1 species
CCGUGCAACAGCAUCCGAUGGGGGGAUAAGCCAUUGGUGGUGGAGGACAAGGUUCUGGAACCUUUGGUGGUGGUGGUGGUGGUGGUUCUUUUGGUUUCUCAGGUUCCUUAGGCUUUUCGGGUUCUUUCGGCUUUUCGGGUUGUUUCGGUUUCUCGGGUUCUUUGGGUUUUUCGGGUUCUUUCGGCUUUUCGGGUUGUUUAGGUUUCUCGGGUUCUUUGGGUUUUUCGGGUUCUUUUGGUUUUUCUGGUGCUUUAGGCUUUUCGGGUUCUUUUGGUUUUUCUGGUACUUUAGGCUUCUCAGGUUCUUUGGGUUUUUCAGGUUCUUUGGGCUUUUCGGGUUCUUUAGGCUUCUCAGGCUCCUUGGGUUUGGGAGGAGGAGGUGGAGGUUUGAUCUCAAUGCUCUUGAUUGAUCCAGCACCCUUGCAACAUAUCUUGUCCCUCAGCUUCUCAGGAUUGCAGCAUACCACG